GCCUGGCCACCGAUCGCGUCACUGGCGCCGCCUCGGUCGGAACUGCCGCCAUCAGAAAAGGGUUCUGGUCGCCAGGAGUGGUUCUGCGACUCCCGGGACCACCGCCGGAGCUUCUGGCUACUUCUGCCGUCGCCGGAAAAAUUGCCGGUAAGGGUUCAUUCGAGGUUUCUGCCUUUUUAGUUUUCGAGAUGGUUUUGAUGCUGUACGGUUUUUCCAGUUGAUCCGCCAGAGCUUCUGGCCGCCGCCGGAGCUGUUGCCGGGCCGGUUCGAAAUCGUAGUUGCCUCAUUGUGUUGUUUCGUGUUGCUAUGGUUAUUGCGAACGUGACUGGAAGCUGAGGUUUUGGCUGCCGGAAUUGUGGUUGUGGAUUUCGGGUCGAGGCGGAAAGGACUUUGUGGCGCGUUUGAGUUAUGGAUUUGCGUUUUGAGGAUAUGGGCGCAGAAGUUACGAAGAGUUCUUUUAGUUGUGGUUGAAAUGCUUUGUAUUGCUUUAGACUAUUAUUUGUACCCUCGCCUUUAUCUUGAGAUAUUCUGUAAGAGGGAUAGGAAUUGUGUUGGAUUAUGUUUGUGAUAUUAUUUAUAUAUAUUUAUGUAUAUAUAUGGAUGUACU